ensembl:snRNA U2 U2 spliceosomal RNA
AUUGCUUCUUGGCCUUUUGGCUUAGAUCAAGUGUAGUACCUGUUCUUAUCAGUUUAAUUUCUGAUAUGUCAUCUAUCUGAGGACAAUAUAGUAAAUGGAUUUUUGGAGCAGGGAGAUGGAACAGGAGCUUGUUCUGUCCACUCCACACACUGACCUGGUAUUGCACGACUUCCAGGAAUGGUGCACCAAAG